CGACGCAUCGCGGGAGAGCCGGCAGCAACGUGCAGACAGGUCGUCAGACCGGGUCCGCGCAAUGCACAGGCCGGCACCGAAGGAGCAAGCCUCCCCGCCAAUCUCUCAGGUACAACACCGCGAUGAACAC
rnacentral:ncRNA from 2 species